AACGCAGCGAAGGGCGAUAAGUAAUGUGAAUUGCAGAAUUCAGUGAAUCAUCGAAUCUUUGAACGCACAUUGCGCCUAGCAGUAUUCUGCUAGGCAUGCCUGUCCGAGCGUCAUUUCACCACUCAAGCUUCGCUUGGUGUUGGAGGUCCCGCUGUCACAAGCGGGCCGCCGAAAUGCAUCGGCUGUAGUUCAAGCAGCUUCCCUGCGUAGUAAAACUUUGUGUUACGCUUCGAAACUCCUGUACGACAUGCCGUAAAACAACCCACUUUUGAAAGGUUGACCUCGGAUCAGGUAGGAAUACCCGCUGAACUUAA
rnacentral:rRNA from 1 species